AGCUACCUUUUCUAAACUGGCAGAAGUACCUAGGAGGGCAUCUACUCUACCUGUUCCUACCCUCUAGAGGUGGGAUACACCUCCACAGGAGGCUGCACAGCUGUGUGUUUUGCCACUGAAGUUUCUGACCAGCAGUCUUAGAUCCUGUCACCCCAGACUAAGCAGAGACCCAGGCUAUUGGCUCCUUCCUGUGGGGUAAGGGUUUAGACUCACACAAAAGGAUCUUUCUGGACUGCUGCUCACACUAGAUCCCCUGUACAGUGGAAUUCUGUCAAGAAGUUUUGGUCAAUCUGUUCUGGUUUUUUUGGCUUCCAAAUUUUCUUCAGCUGAAAAAAAAAAAGAAUGACCUGGAAAGAAAGGGUCUGCUAAAGGGAACCCAUUCUAAAGAGAAGUGAUGUACAAAGGCCUAUUGCAUCUAUGGUCUCCAAUGAAGCAGGCCUGAAAAUGACGCCCACUGGGAACAGCAGAAAGGAGAGGAGAUCCUAAGAGGAAUGGUCACAGUUGGGGCUAUUAGGCUAUUUCUUCAUUUCAGAAUUCAGAAAGGACAAUGAUUGUGAUCGAGGCCUUCCUUAAAAAUCCUAUUGCAACAGAGACGACUCAACUAGCAUGAUUGUAUUUAUUCUUAUAAACUUACAGAGCUGUAGAAGCAUAAGCCGAGAGUUCUGUAAACACCAUACAGUACCACUCCCAUCUGUGAGGUAAGCCCAGAUACACCAUCUCUCCCUAGGGCCCUGUCACCUGCAGAACACCCAGCACUCUGAAUUAAGGCAGUUUGGCUCUGGGCACCUUGGUGCCUUUACUGGUGACAGUUUAGCCUGUGACCUCUGGCCCCAAACAACUAUUUCUACCCUGGCUCCCUGCACAAUGUCCCCUGUUCCAGAUUUGUGCAACUUUUUCCACCAAGGGAAUGCCUCCCACAUGGGGUCACCCAGCUCUGGAACAUCCUCUCCAGGGACAGUUGCAGCCAAAUAUACCAGUGUUGAUUUAUAGCAACAGCCACCCAGAGGGCCUUGGUCUUGGGGUCCUGCUGCCUCCCUCACCCCCAGCAUCUGCCAAAUGUUCAAGCUACUCUGUCCUAACUAACCCCCACAGAAAUGUGGCCCCACACUUGGCUUCCACAGCCACUUUCUGGCCCCCACUGGGUUUCCCACUACCACCACUCUUUCUUUACACUGUCCUGCACCCGAGCCCUUUCUUCAUUUGCACUCGUCCACCUCUGCAGAGACCAGAAAGGCCUGGCUAUAGUCUCUGUGGAUGGGCAAAGGACUUCAGAAUGGAGAUGUUCUCACUCCCUGCAGAGUCCCAUUCCAGAAUAGAAUAACCAUCUCCCUCCCCUGUUCCCCAGACCCCAACCUGAGGUGCCUCUGGUCUCUGUCCUGUCUCCCUCCUGCUGUGAUGCUGCUAGAUUGUAGAAUAAAAGUAGCCACAGCUCCCUAGAUACCGUAUAUUCCUCUAAACUUUCUACAACUUGAGAAAAGCACCAAGAUAGAUGCUAAUCAAGAAUUGAUAGGAUUAUCCUCAUGAGGAUAGUCAUGUGACAAAUGACAAAUAAGGCCUUUUUUAUCUGAUGUUUUUUCAGUCUUCCAAUCACCCCAUGUGGUAGAGCAAGAGUCCACGCCACCCCUCAUAUACCCCUAGCAGUCACAGGACAUCAAAUGAAGCAAAAGACCGGGCACUUUCCCAGGUGAAGCCCACACCCCAAUCCUGACUAUCAUGCCCCUUAGACUUGGAACCCUGUCCAUUUCCACUCAGUCCUCACCAUAAUUCUAGUUUGAAGCAA